AAGCUGGUUUUGUUAUGACUCCAGAGAACCCCCUUUCCUCCUUUAUUCACACUCUGACCACAAUCUUCCAUUUGGCCAUCAGGCGCUUCAGGUUACCUCCUAGCUUACUUUACUCUCAAGAUAGAUGCUAGAAGGUACUCACGUGCUGUCAUGAGUUUAUGCCCAUAUACAACAUUUUUUCAAAUAAUUUUUAUGUAAAGGCUUUUAUCUGUAUCUGGAAUGGAGGGUUCAGCCUUCAGUUAUAUCCAUUUCAAACAUCCUUGUUGCUGCUAGAAAAUAUAUUUUGAGGAAGCAUGUGACAUCCCUGUUAGAAUUUUUGACAUUGUGAGUUUGGGGGCAUUGCCACCCCAGUGAUGGCUUUGUAAUUCCAAUUUGCUUUUCUUUAGAGAGCUACAGUAGAUUUCCUUAAUUAAAAAAUGCCAUGUGAACUACUGGCAAAGUAGUGGAAUACAAAAUGUAAAGAAACAUAUUUCAGUUUUCUUUUAUUCUACUGAGUGAUGUUGAUUGUAUUCCCAAACUUUUAGGCUUCCACUUUUCCUUCCUUCCUCAAAAAAAAAAAAAAAGAAGAAGAAGAAAGUAGGAGGAAGAGGAGGAGGAGGAAAAGGUAGGUAAUUGGUAAUCUGUGGCAUCUGUUCUCUAAUUUUCAGAACUAUAGCAUGUAUUUUUAUAGUAUUUAGAUAAAAGCAACAAUAGUUACAACUAUUAGGUGCUGAACACUUACUAUGUUUA
rnacentral:lncRNA from 1 species